CUACCUUGGCUGCACAGCCCUGAGAUAGCAGUUUGGUAUGAAUAACAGCUCUCCAGCCUCAGGAGAGAGGAGUGCAGACUUGCUGACUGUUCUUUGCUCCUGUGGAGGGAUCAAGAAUGGUGGAUACUUGGGAUUGCUGGAAAUCAGACUGACCAACUAAAUUUCUCAGCACUGAUUAGAAAGAUUCAAUAUCCAAAAUAAAAGCUUUCCUUCAUGUCCUUGUCAACAAAUCUUAGCCCAGAAGAACCCCUUUAAUAAGGAUCACGAGGCACUUUAGUCUUUGCUGAUUAAGACCCUGGA